rnacentral:rRNA from 1 species
GACGAACGCUGGCGGCGUGCCUAAUACAUGCAAGUCGAGCGAGUGAAACUAACUGAUCCCUCCGGGGUGACGUUAGUGGAUCUAGCGGCGGACGGGUGAGUAACACGUGGGCAACCUGCCUGUAAGACUGGGAUAACUCGCGGAAACGCGAGCUAAUACCGGAUGAUACUUUGAACUGCAUGGUUCGAAGAUGAAAGGCGGCGCAAGCUGUCACUUACAGAUGGGCCCGCGGCGCAUUAGCUAGUUGGUGAGGUAACGGCUCACCAAGGCGACGAUGCGUAGCCGACCUGAGAGGGUGAUCGGCCACACUGGGACUGAGACACGGCCCAGACUCCUACGGGAGGCAGCAGUAGGGAAUCUUCCGCAAUGGACGAAAGUCUGACGGAGCAACGCCGCGUGAGUGAUGAAGGUUUUCGGAUCGUAAAACUCUGUUGUUAGGGAAGAACAAGUACAAGAGUAACUGCUGGUACCUUGACGGUACCUAACCAGAAAGCCCCGGCUAACUACGUG